rnacentral:lncRNA from 1 species
AUUUGGAGCAUUUCUCUGGGGGAAGAUGAACUGAAAGUGCCAAUUACAGAGUUUUCUACACUGUCCAGGACCCCUGGCCUUCCUACCAUUGAUCUGAAAGUUUAAUCAACCGUUUGAUGAAUGAGCAGAUUCCAUGUAUGGAGUCCCGCAGUGUGCUGUGCCUCUCUGUCUGGGUUCUGGGUUUGCUGUGAUGAAUGGCCAGCUGUGAAUGGGUGAUGCUGCCAGCUCUGCGCAGACGGGCUAGAUUUUCUGAGCCUACGACUGUCCCCAUGUUUGAGGAAUGCACUUUGCAGUUUAUGAAGCAACCACUACACAGAGUUGGGAAAUCUUUCCUCCUCCUUUCCAGAAUCCACUCCAUGGUGGUUGCAUUGGAGGAGACUGGAAGUUGGCAUUGGGGUCAGGAGCCGUUAACAUUUUCAGCCGUGACCAAGAGACCAGCAGGAGGCCUUCUGGAGUCCUAGAAGAGCAGCUGUUUCAGCAGGAGCGGGGUAUGCAGGGGGAGGUGCCAGGUGCUCCCAAAUGCGGAGACAGCUUCUUUUUUGGGCGAAAAUGCUUAAAGGCCUUUGAUACUGACAGGCAACACCACCCGUGGCAGGGCCCUCCCUGCAGCCUGAACUCGGCCUUGGGUUUCACUUGGAAGAUUUCUACUUGUCUUCAGGUCUCCUCUUCUAUGCUGC